UCCUGGCCUCGGUUUCUGCGCCACCAGCGACCUCUGGGGGGGCCCCGCGGACUUCUCUGUUCUCGUAAACAGUCCCCGGCGGAAACCGAAAGGCCGCUUUUUGCUAUAGAUAUAUUUUCUUUUUCUCUUCAAGAACUUGACUAUUUUUCUCUCCUGAGCGACUCUGAAAAAGGCCGCGGAGAGGUGCUUGGGAGCAGGAUCGGGGCUUUGCGCUGAGGGCGAGACGGAGAGAGAGAGAUGGGGCGAGGUUUAUCAUGAAACUCGCCCCAGGGUCACGGGGGAACAGAAAAAGGGAUGCCUUCUUCCUGUUUACCCCUUCCCUGCAGUCUCUGCUCCACCUGGAAGGAGGUCAUGCCCCUGGCAGGAAAGAAGGAAAAAGUCCUCAGGCGUCCACCACAUCUGUAAAUCUCGCACAGACCCAUCUCCUGCUUCCCUUCCUCCCAGGAGAAACUUCUGGAUCUGAAAGGGAGCCCCAACCCCGGCAAACUAUCAGAUCGAAGUAGGAUGACAGAAGUACCACAGGCAAGAAAUGGGACAAUGAUGCAGAGCAUUAUGUGAUUCCAUGCUGAACUGUCACCCGCCAUAGAGUGAAGCCAGUCUUUAAGAAGUCCAGUUCACCUCCACAAGGAAUCAAUUUUCUGUUCAAGUGCUGCACGCUAAACAAUUGGGCCACUGGAGCUCCAGGAACCAAUUUUAUUUUAUUUUUUUAAUAAAUUGUAUUUAUUUACUU